rnacentral:lncRNA from 10 species
GCUUCCUCCAUGGGAGGACAGAGUGAGAAAACACCAUCGAUGAAUCAGGAGGUGGACCCUCACUAGAUACCAAACCUGUUGGCACCUUGAUCUUGGACUUCCCCGCUUCCAGAACUGUGAGCAUUUACAGCUCACCACUUCCAGCCUGGGAACUCCGUGCUAAUUGAGACUUGGAAAGAAGACAAGCUCCAGCCAUGCUGGGAAGUUUCCUGUCAAGGGCUCCUGAUCACUAAGACAGAUGUACGAACAGCUGAAUGGGGCAGGGGGCAGAGUUCAACUCUCAACUUGUACCCACAUCUUAAAUGUUACUGGUAAGUCAAACAAAGGCAACUACUUGCCUCUUCAUAUACCCCCGGCUAAUGUCUAGUGGUAUUGUGGGAAAAGGAACCUCUGCAACUUGUUACUGCCCAAUUGAACCGGGACUUGUGCCUUAGUUUAACUGGCCAUUCCAUUCGCUUUGGCAAAUUCCAUAAAAUCCCCGAAAAUCCACAUGGCCACCAAAGUUGGAGAGAUCUAAGAAAUUCCUUUAAUCCCAACAUUUAUGUUAACUCAAUAGGAGCCACUAAAGGAGUACUUAAUGAAUUUAAGGACUAAAGGACACAAAAAUAAAUGUGAAAAUGGGACCAGUAGGGGUAAAAAGAAAAAGAGGAGGGAAUUGAAGGAAGUAAUGUAUACAGCCGUCCAUUUCCAAGACAAAGUGCCUUAAAUCAUCUUAGGGCAGCAAACUACAAAAGAAACUGAAAAUACUAGGUCCCUGCUUGAAUAGCCAAUGCCUGCUUGUCAGCCUCCCCUUCCCCCCACCACCCCACUUAGUUGCCCUCACCGGAACCAAAAAAGUUUAGUCUAAAAUAAAAGUUUACUAGUCUGCAAAAUAGCUCGCUUUGUCUUUUCUUAUCAGUCUGUCCAGCUACUUAGGUCAUAAGUCAAAUACUUGAAGAGCUCAUGAGCUAACUAGGAUUGCUAUGCAUUGUGGGCUGCAACAAAAUGCAGCAAGACAACCCUAAAGAAAACACCUAAAGCCCCUGCCUAACAAUCAAUAGCGACGUCCGUCUGGGAAAAUUGUAACCCUGUAGUACUCAACCUAUGAAGAAUGGCAGGGAAGGACCUGCACACUAGGGGAUAAAUUGCUUGUUAAAACUGUGCUGGGUGUGCCUGUGUGUCAAACACCCAAUCUUGCAAAACUGUCGUUACAAGUCUCACUUUGCUGUCCUGUGGGUCUCUAAGUCCAUUCUUUGAGUUUGAACAGUUAAGUUUGUUUCUCAUAGUUUGAAUGCUUAUUUUUGUACUAAAUGUUGUAUUAGGUAUCUUAUGUUUGCUGUCUUAUUUAAUUCUCACAAUAAACCUACAAAGCAGUGGUAUUCUUUCCAUUUCAUGGAUGAAGAAACUGAGGUUCACGGAGGCUCAGUAACUAAUGCAAGCCAAAUGGGUAGUGGAUGAUGGAGUGGGCUGUGAAUUCAGGUUUUCUUGUAUCACUUGACCACAGGCUAAAUGACAAGGGCUACUCUGGGGCCAAUGACAGCUCCUAAGACCCAGAACACAUGCAUGCCUGUCAGGGCAGAGAAAUUGAGUCUGUUUGGAAGCCAACUUAAGCCUUAGGAAUAUAGCCUUUAGAGCAAACGGUUUUAACCCAGGUCAGCAGAUGGAAUUCAUGGGAUCUAUGAACUUGGACAAGAAACACUUCCGCGUCAUUUUCACUAACUUUUCACUGAAUUUAGCACCUCUCUCACCUAUCACGUAGGCAAUAAAUCAGUGUUGGCCAGACCUGUAACUCUGUCAUUAAAAGAAACUACAGAUAUUUGCAUUUCACGUUACAGUGUUUACCAAUAUCUCAAAAUAUUGCUUAUGCAAUUUGUCAUGACUUUGCAUUUAUAGUAAUUAGACCUGCAGCAGACCUUGUUGUUUGUUACUCACAGAAUAUAUAUAUAUAUAUAUAUAUAAUUAUGUUAUGAAUUAGUUUUCAAAAGUGUUUUGAUAACUGUGGUUUAAUAUAAUUUAUUGGUCUUAUUUUGUGCACUUAAAAAUAUUCUUCUGGAAAAGCCUCCAUAUGCCCCACCAGACUGUCAGAGGACUCCAGAUACAGAACGGUCUCGAUGCCCUGACUCAGCAAGAGUGACUGAGUCAAAUCCUGACUGUCUCAUAUACCAGCUGGAGGACAUUAAGUUCUGUAGCCUGGUGGGAUGUCUCUCCUAAAUCAGGGUUUCUCAGCCUUGGCCCUGUUGAUGUUAGGGCUGCAUAAUUCUUUGCUGGGGAUGGUAUGGGGGUGAAUGGGGGCUAGCUCGUGCACUGUGGGAUGUGUGACAUUCCUGGCCUUGACCCACAAGAUGCAAUAGUACCCCACCCCCCAGUAUAUUCCUGGCCUUGACCCACAAGAUGCAAUAGUACCUCACCCCCCGGUUGUGACAACCCAAAAUGCCUCCUCUAGACAUUGUCUCAUGCCCCUGUGGGCAAGAUGGCCCAGUUGAGAACUGCUGUGCUAGAUGUGCAAUGUGAUAUUAGAGGAUUCUUGGGAGUACACUGCGAUCAUGCCUCAAUGCCUGAGUGCUCCAUGUGGCGCUCUAUCCUGUUUUUGUUAGGACACCAGAUUUCAGUAAGUUCAGGGUCAAGAGGGACUGGUCUCUCAGCCUGAGGGUCCACAAGGAAGUCCCUCUGGAGGGUUGGCAGCCUGCACUGGGGUGAUUCCAACUGGGAGUCCAGGGGAGCCCAGUCCUGGCGAGCUGAUGAUGGGAUGGAGAAGAACAGUGACUCAUGGGUGCCUACGGGUGCCCCGGACCUGAAAGAUAGACAGCAGGGGCUAACCCCAGAUAGGCAGGAGUGUAGAAAAUGCCUUCUCCAACCUCAGGGGAUUCUUGGUUCUUUUAAAGCCAGAAGAAUGAGGAUGGCAGGGCCACAAGCUGCCCUAAAGGAUGAUGCAGUGCUGCAGGAGAUUAAGAGGAAGGGGGCAUUUUUAAAUUCUUUUGGAGUACUGAAGGGGAAAUAACAGAAUGGUGAGAGAAGCUACUGGUUUUGAGUGUUGACACCAUGCCAGGUGCUGUUCUAAGCAGCCUAUGUCAACAUGGUACUUAAUUCUUACAGCUAACUAGGAGGUAGAUGCUGUCAAUGUCCUCAUUUGGCAAGGCUCUGAGGCUUAAAUGUCCACUGUCUUGCCUGACUUUCCUUCUGUAAAUGACAGAACUGAAAUGUAAGCCCAGAUGUGUCUAAUUUCAGUGCCCAUGAGUUAAAUCAAUAGGUAGCACUGCCCAAAUGCCAUUCCAGAUACCCAGAAAACCCAAAGCUGAUACUGCUAAACAAAGGUUAGGGGCCCGUGAGAAACUACAGAGGUCAGAGCACUCCUAAGAGACUGAAGGGGCUCAUCUGGGACAGUGUUUGACAAAAAUGCAGGAGAAGGCGGGCCUUCUGUGGACCUCCUGUGACCUAUGGACUUGGGAAUUCCUUGCCUUGUGAAUUCCAUGCCGAUGUUAGACAAGCAUCUGGAUCAAUUACUAAACCUACGUCUCGUCAGCCCUUAGAUGCCAAAUGUGUGGUUGAUAAGAAUCAUUGUCAUUUUUUGACUUUUUAAUAAUAGCCAUUCUGACUGGUAUGAGAUUGGGUAUUUUUAUUCUAAAUAAAUAUUCUUUUUUAUAACAACAACAAACAAAUCACUGUAAGAUCAUAAGUUAACAAAGAACAAAUCAUGCCAGACAAACUUCGUUCUUCUUUAUGGCUCUGCUCUCCUGAUGGCUUGGUGGGAGGUGGGGGUGGAGGGGAAUCUGCAGAUGGCUUUCCAUAGAGCAUCUGCUCCCAGCUCUCAUGAAAUCCGUGAGGACAGAUUUGGAAACAUGAGCUAGACAAUACCAGGGCAGGCUGCUUUCUGGUGGGUUAAAGACCUGUGCUCCAAGGGAACUGAUUAGCCAAUAUGGGCUUAGAGGAAUUCUCAGUGGCAAACUGGAGAUGAUUCAACAAUCAGAAUGAAAAAUGUCACCGUGACAUACUUGUGGAGAAAAGCAAACAGCACCAAGCAAGUAGAUUUUCACUAUAUCUGAGAUACCAGGGAGGGGAGCCAGUAUUACAAAAUUGCCUGGAUUUAAUGAUGAUGAUAAUAGGUAACACCUUUAAGUAUGUACUCUGUCCCCAGGUGUGGUUCUAAGCAUUUUACAUAAAUUAGUUCCUUUAGCACCUCCCAACAACCCUACAAAGUAGGUUAUAUUAUUUUCCACAUUUUACAGUUGAGGAAACUGAGGCGGAGAAUGAUUUCAUAGUUACCAGAUGCCUGAGAUUUAGAGUCCCAUUUAGCUCUGAGAUUGUAUUGGAAGGUGGGGAAAGAGUGGCUUGUAUGUGCACAAAAAGAAGAUAAUCACGGUGUGCCAAGGGGCUUAGCUGUCCCUUUCUCUGGGAGAUUUUUCUCUACCUCCCAAGUGGGGCUAGCGGCCUCUCCUAUGCACUCACAAGGCAUCCGGUACAUGGCGCUGUCCCUGCCCCUCCCCGAGGUUUAUAAUUUCCUAUGUGCAUGUUUGCCUCCCCUCUAGAUUCAUUUCAUCCCUUUAGGACCCUCAGCUUUGAGCACAGUGGCAACGCUGGGGUUUCCAGAAGUGUUGGUAAGGGGAUUGAAAUGAAUGUAAAGAUUGUAAAGUCUGAAGAAGAGACAGAAGGCCCUGGGGCCAGGGGGCAUGCAUGUGUGACAAAAUCUCAACCAAAGGCCACAGGGGAUGAGAAGAUAGAAGGAAGAAGUUGUCAUCCCCUGGAGCAUGGUAUUGAGGGAACCUGUGGGAUGGUCUUUCCCCAAGGCCUCGAUGGCCUCGCGGGGAGAGACCAUGGUAUAGACUCACUGGCCUCUCAUAAGCUUCUCCAGCUCCACAAGCCAAGAAGCCUAUGAAGUCUGUGGAGUUUCAAGUGCUGCACACUGGGCUGCUCACCUUUUCCUUUUAGAGUAAAGAGAUCAAGAAGACAUGGAGGAAAUGUAAAGAUAUAUUGGAAAGUACGUGGUAUAUAAUAUUAACUAAAGUCAAUAGUUUACAUUAGGCUUGGCUCUUGACUUCAGUUAAUAUUAUAUACCACAUAUUGAUUAAUCAGUUGUAACAGUUGUACCACACUAGUGCAAGAUGUUAAAAUAAAAAAAGGUGUGUGUGUGUGUGUGAGAGAGAGAGAGAGAGAGAGAAACAGAAAGACAGAAACAGAUGAGGUGUAUGGGAACUCUUUUUUUAGCAAUUUUUCCAUAACCUAAAAUUGUUCUAAAAAGUAAAAUCUAUUAAAACAAUACAGAGAUCUCUGUGAUCGCACCUAGAACAUACCCGGGAAAUACUGCUGAUGCACUCAUGUGCACUCACAGGAAUCACAGAACUAUACAGAGAUGGGCGCCCUCCUCAUUCCUUGGGGUAGACAGAUAUAGAAACAGGCUCAGCCAACAUCAGAUGUAACUUGCUCACUUUCUUUCCACUUCCCUUCAAUAAAUAUGCAGUAGGUGAACAUGCUUCAUAGAAUGGGAAAUGCUACACAAUUAUUAAAAACGUGUGGGCUAAAUCAAUCUAAGAGAUUGAAGAGAGCUGCUUCAAGUCAUUAUACUCAAGUGGACUCUGGGAGGGGUAGCCUUAGCAUCUGCUCCUUCUGGCCAAGGGCCAAAUGGAUUGGGGUCCCGAGCACAUCCACAGGAGGCCAGAAUGGCUGUAACUGGUGUCUCUUGUCCUGAUUAGAGGGUGAGGGCGGCUUCAGAGUUUCUAGAGUGUGGCCCCCGUCCUAAGGGGGCAUUGGGAUGGGGCUGCUCCUGAGCUGGGAGAAGGAGCUGGGAUGAGUGUCAGGCAGUUGCUGAGGGGUGGAGGAGAAGGAGCGAGCAGUUGCUAAGAGAGCUGGCAGGAGUGGAGCUGGGUGAUGUUUGACUCUGGAUUAAAAAAAUUUUUUAAGCAAGCAAAGAGAAUUUCCACUCUGCCAGAGCUAGGAGACCUUUGAGACCAUCUCUUCCAUCUUCUCACUCUAUAGCUGAGGAAACAGGGCCUGGAGGGAUCCCCCAGAGACCCAGUGGCAGUCCCACACUAGGCUGGGCUGUCCCUGACUCCUAGGCUCAUGCUUUGCAAAAUUGAAUGGGCCUGCAAAACAGCUCUCAAGCCUGAGCACUUCUCCCAUCUCACCCAAGUAACUCCUCUGCCUUGAGCCUUUUAACGGCUUCUCAUUCUGAGAGGAACCACUUACCUCCCCUACCAUGGUAUCUCAGGCCUUGACAGGCUGUCCUUCUCAUCUCUC